GCUGGAACGCACGCGAACACCGGCUGAUCAGAAGGUCUGCAAUUAAGAAGCAUACUUAAGCGGCGACACAAGGACAAAGUCCCAGAUCCAUGAAGAAGUUCAUACAUUGGACAUUAUUUGUGGGACUUUUAGUUUGAUUUUUAUUGUCUCCCUCCCUUGUCGUUUUAUUGUUCCUGUUGCCGGGCUGCUGUUUGCUGUUCCACCUACCUUCCGCAGUAUACUGCUCCAGGUCCACUCUGGGUGGAGAUAAGCUUGAACUCAUUGUACUCUGUAAGUGCAAUUUUAAGCAUUAAAGUGCCU